rnacentral:siRNA from 1 species
UCCAUAUGGGUGACACAUCAUCA